GCCAGGAGCAGUGGCGCAUGCCUGUAGUCCCAGCUACUCGGGAGGCUGAGCUAGGAGGAUCACUGGAGCCCAGGAGUUCUGGGCUGUACUGUGCUAUGUCGAUCAGGCGUCCACACUAAGUUUGACAUCAAUAUGGUGACCUCCUGGGAGCAGGAGACCACCAGGUUCACCUGGGGUGAACUAGCCCAGGUCGAAAAUGGAGCAGGUCAAAACUCCUGUGCUGAUUAGUAGUGGGAUUGUGCCUGUGAACAGCCACUGCACUCCAGCCUGGGCAAUAUAGCAAGACCUCAUCU
rnacentral:SRP_RNA from 10 species